rnacentral:sRNA from 1 species
GCCGGGCAUGCUGCCUCACGCCUGUAGUCCCAGCUGCUACUCAGGAGGCUGAGGCAGGAGAAUGGUGUGAACCCGGGAGGUGGAGGUUGCAGUAAGCCAAGAUCGCGCCACUGCACUCCAGCCUGGCGAAAGAGCAAGACUCCAUCUUAAAAUAAACAAAUGAAUUAAUUAAUUUAAUUUUAUAUAUAUAUAUAUAUAUAUUUUUUUUUUUUUUUUUUGAGACGGAGUCUCGCUCUGUCACCCAGGCUGGACUGCAGUGGUAUAAUCUUGGCUCACUGCAACCUCCACCUCCCAGGUUCAAGCGAUUCCCCUGCCUCA